UUGGACCCCGGAAGUCCGGGCGGGGGCAGAGCCGGGUGCGCUUUGCGACAGAGCCGUAAAGGCGCGCGGGAACAUGGGGCUGUACGCUGCGGUGGCAGGCGUGCUGGCCGGCGUGGAGAGCCGCCAGGGCUCUAUCAAGGGGCUGGUGUACUCCAGCAACUUCCAGAACGUGAAGCAGCUGUACGCGCUGGUGUGCGAAACGCAGCGCUACUCCGCCGUGCUGGAUGCCGUGAUCUCCAGCGCCGGCCUCCUCAGUGCGAAGAAGCUGCAGCCGCACCUGGCCAAGGGUGCUAGUGUAUGAGUUGUUGGGAAAGGGCUUUCGAGGGGGUGGGGGCCAAUGGAAGGCUCUGUUGGGACGGCACCAGGCGAGGUGUUGAGUUGGCUCGGCUCAAGGUUCUUCGGGGUGUGAGCUGGCAUGAGGACCUGUUGGAAGUGGGAUCCAGGCCUGGUCCAGCCUCCCAGCUGCCUCGAUUUGUGCGUGUGAACACUCUCAAGACCUGCUCCGUUUAUGUAGUUAUUUCAAGAGACAAGGUUUCUCCUAUCAGGGUCGGGCUUCCAGGCUGGAUGGAGUGCCCUGGCGCGAUCUCGGCUCACCGCAACCUCUGCCUCCUGGGUUCAAGCGAUUCUCCUGCUUCAGCCUUCUGAGCAGCUGGGAUUAUGAAGGGGUGGCCUGCCCCUCCACAUCUGUGGGAUAUCUCAUCAGCCUCGAUGACUUACGAGCCCUCAAGGGGAAGCAUUUUCUCCUGGACCCCUUGAUGCCGGAGCUGCUGGUGUUUCCCGCCCAGACAGAUCUGCAUGAACACCCACUGUACCGGGCCGGACACCUCAUUCUGCAGGACAGGGCCAGCUGUCUCCCAGCCAUGCUGCUGGACCCCCGCCAGGCUCCCAUGUCAUGGAUGCCUGUGCCACCCCAGGCAAUAAAGACCAGUCACUUGGCUGCUCUUCUGAAGAACCAAGGGAAGAUCUUUGCCUUUGACCUGGAUGCCAGGCGGCUGGCAUCCAUGGCCACGCUGCUGGCCUGGGCUGGCGUCUCCUGCUGUGAGCUGGCUGAGGAGGACUUCCUGGCGGUCUCCCCCUUAGAUCCGCGCUAUCGUGAGGUCCACUAUGUCCUGCUGGAUCCUUCCUGCAGUGGCUCGGGUAUGCCGAGCAGACAGCUGGAGGAGCCCGGGGCAGGGACACCUAGCCCGGUGCGUCUGCAUGCCCUGGCAGGGUUCCAGCAGCGAGCCCUGUGCCACGCGCUCACUUUCCCUUCCCUGCAGCGGCUCGUCUACUCCAUGUGCUCCCUCUGCCAGGAGGAGAAUGAAGACAUGGUACAAGAUGCGCUGCAGCAGAACCCGGGCGCCUUCAGGCUAGCUCCCGCCCUGCCUGCCCGGCCCCACCGAGGCCUGAGCACGUUCCCGGGUGCCGAGCACUGCCUCCGGGCUUCCCCCAAGACCACGCUUAGCGGUGGCUUCUUCGUUGCUGUAAUUGAACGGGUCGAGAUGCCGACCUCAGCCUCACAGGCCAAAGCAUCAGCACCAGAACGCACACCCAGCCCAGCCCCAAAGAGAAAGAAGAGAGCAAAAAGCUGCAGCCGGUGCUUGCACACCGCCUUGCACAUAGCAGAGGCUCCGGGCUCACUCCUUCCUGGUGGGAAAGGAAGAUGCCUGUCCUCUCCGUGGAAGACCCUGGGCCCUCACCGCAGGCAGCAGUUUGCGUUUUGAAAGGUUAUUGGGUCCCUUCCUCGGGCUGUGUUCUUGCUGGUGAGCAAAAGUGUUGCCUGCAGAAAUAAAAUGCAGAACGUACUCUA
ensembl:lncRNA NSUN5P2 NSUN5 pseudogene 2